UCACUGGGUUUAAAGGGUGCGUAGGUGGUUUUUUAAGUCAGGGGUGAAAGACGGCAGCUUAACUGUCGCAGUGCCUUUGAUACUGAAGAACUUGAAUUAACUAGAGGUAGGCGGAAUGUGACAAGUAACGGUGAAAUGCAUAGAUAUGUCACAGAACACCAAUUGCGAAGGCAGCUUACUAUGGUUAUAUUGACACUGAGGCACGAAAGCGUGGGGAUCAAACAGGAUUAGAUACCCUGGUAGUCCACGCCCUAAACGAUGAAUACUCGAUGUUGGCGAUAUACGGUCAGCGUCUAAGCGAAAGCGUUAAGUAUUCCACCUGGGGAGUACGCCCGCAAGGGUGAAACUCAAAGGAAUUGACGGGGGCCCGCACAAGCGGAGGAGCAUGUGGUUUAAUUCGAUGCUCCGCGAGGAACCUUA
rnacentral:rRNA from 1 species